GUCUACGUACACACGAAUUAAAAGUGAAACCGCAAAUAGGCUCAUUAUAUCAGUUUAUGGUUCCUUAGAUCGUUAACAGUUACUGGGAUAAGUGUGGUAAUCCUAGAGCUAAUACAUGCAAUUAAAUCACGGACAUUAUGGGACGUGUGCUUUUUUUAGGCUACACCCAAGCGAUGGUCAGAUUGUUCCAUUGGCAGAUCUCUAUCUUACACGCGGCUCCUACGCUCUGGUCCGGACGACAGAUCUUUCAAAUGUCGAAGGG
rnacentral:ncRNA from 1 species